CCUACGGGCGGCAGCAGUGGGGAAUAUUGCACAAUGGGGGAAACCCUGAUGCAGCGACGCCGCGUGAAGGAAGAAGUAUUUCGGUAUGUAAACUUCUAUCAGCAGGGAAGAAAAUGACGGGACCUGACUAAGAAGCCCCGGCUUACGACGUGGAAGCAGCCGCGGUAAUACGUAGGGGGCAAGCGUUAUCCGGAUUUACUGGGUGUAAAGGGAGCGUAGGCGGCGAUGCAAGUCAGAAGUGAAAGCCCGGGGCUCAACUCCGGGACUGCUUUUGAAACUGUAUGGCUAGAUUGCAGGAGAGGCAAGUGGAAUUCCUAGUGUAGCGGUGAUAUGCGUAGAUAUUAGGCGGCACACCAGUGGCGAAGGCGGCUUGCUGGACUGUAAAUGACGCUGAGGCUCGAAAGCGUGGGGAGCAAACAGGAUUAGAUACCCUGGUAGUC
rnacentral:rRNA from 1 species